UAAGGAAUAUUGGUCAAUGGACGCAAGUCUGAACCAGCCAUGCCGCGUGAAGGAUGAAGGUCCUCUGGAUUGUAAACUUCUUUUAUCUGGGACGAAAACGGGAUUUUUAUCUCAAUUGACGGUACCAGAGGAAUAAGCACCGGCUAACUCCGUGCCAGCAGCCGCGGUAAUACGGAGGGUGCGAGCGUUAUCCGGAUUUACUGGGUUUAAAGGGUGCGUAGGUGGGCUUAUAAGUCAGUGGUGAAAUCUCCGAGCUUAACUUGGAAACGGGCGAUGNUACUAUAGGUCGUGAAUUAUCUGGAGGUAAGCGGAAUAUGUCAUGUAGCGGUGAAAUGCUUAGAUAUGACAUAGAACACCAAUUGCGAAGGCAGCUUACUACAUAUAAAUUGACGCUGAGGCACGAAAGCGUGGGGAUCAAACA
rnacentral:rRNA from 1 species